CGCGGCGGUUGAGUCAACGCGAUGUACACAACAAAAGACCGCCCGAAGGCGGUCUCUUGAGAUGACCGGGUCCCGUUUUCGUCUAGCGCUCACCGCUCAUGAGGAAGAAAAGGUUCUCGCCACGCAUCGCUAUUUGAUGUGGGCGCCCAGCAAUCGCUUUCAUGAAGGAUUGAGAUGUCCCGAAAUUGGGGAAUAGCCAGUCGUGAAGCUCGAUCGCGAUGAGGUCGGUCCGGUCCAUCCAAUCCGUGUUCGACCGGAAUAGCUCUUUCUCAGCCCCUUCGAUGUCGACCUUGACGACCAGGAUUGGCUUUCCUUCGGAAAGUUGAUCAAUUGUGAAU
rnacentral:misc_RNA from 1 species